UAGUGUCGUUGCAAGCGUACUGCGCUGUGGUUUCGCUUUGACGUCGAGCGCGUUUUCAUGUAAUGUUCUGGAUGUGCGUGCCCAUCGCGCAGUAUUUAGCACGCAAUGAUAAAGGCAACUGCCACCGUGCCUGUCGCUGCACUUGCAGACGGUGCCCACUGUUGGGCCUUCUUGCUUGACUUCCCGCGACUCGUCCUCGCCAGCGAUGUGACGAAACUGGUCCGCCCUUUCAGGCACGCUGUGCGAGUUCAAGUGCGGAAUGAUCGCUACCAACAUUUCGCGAGCCCUCGCUUUCCUCCGCCUUGGAAGAGAGGCGAUGAGUGGCGAAGUGAACUCCCUUCCUGACUGCAGUUCUUCCUGUGCGCGUCUAGGCAGGCGUCCCGCAGAUGCGCUUUCUCCGACCAGUUCGACAGCGCCAGUGUUUAGGAAACGGUUGGGCGGGGGGCGUUGAACUUAUAAAAGACAGGCGCCUGGUGCGCCCCGUGCUUCCGGUUGCGACGGUGUCUCCCUUCCGAGGAAUCGCCGUGUAGUUGGCGGUGGCUUAGAGCACGCAGGACUGUAUUCAUGGUGUAUUUGAUUUCACGUUAGUUUAUAAUUAAUUCCUUACAAUGAAAGAAACCAAUACAGGAGUAGUUAAAGGGACACUAAAGGGAAAGCUAAUUUGAGCUGUAUUGAUAAAGUACCCUUAUAUAUACAAUACCGAAAACCCGCUUCUACCAUGACAUUAAGCUUGGUAAGUCAGAAAAGAUGCGAAUAGCGAAAGUCUGCUGUGGACGCCGGCUUGAGCUUCCCACACCAGCUUCUUGUGACGACGUGCAUUUUUGACGGCGUCUGCGCAGGCCGAGUUAAGUUAAAGUUAGCAAGGUUCGAUAAACUUUUACGAGACACAAUGGCGCAAGUACGGGAAAAUACAUUGAAAUCCGUGACUUCGCACCACCGACAUACACGCGCGGAGCUAUCGCUGCGAAAUUUGGUCUUCAUUUUUCUCUUCGACAAUCAAAUUAUUACCGCGAAAUCAUAGAAAAUAAGCGUUUGACUAGUAUACCUUGACUAAACUCAGUUUACUUUUUAUUUCGGUGUCCCUUUAAACAACGGUUUGAGAUAGGGGUGUGGCUUUAACUUAGCACUAUCACAUGCCAGCUUAUGGACCCUGAUUGCUAGAUUAUAUGUAAGAAAAUUUAUGAAUAAGCUUCAGAUGCAUGACCAAGGGCUGACAAUAUUGUUAUAAUAAAAAGUGCAAGCAGGUUCGUUCGGCGCGUUUACUUUUUGAGCACGCAGUUUCGUAAUUAUGUCAAAUUUAAAUGUCACCUAAUGUAUACAUGUAGAUAAAUUUAGCUAGGGGAGAUCAGCUGAAAUGACUGGAAGUAUGUGCAUUCAAUGCACAUAUAUAUAUCCGAGUGCUACAGGGCUGUGGAGACACAACAGCGUUAUUUGAAAAGUUGUUGGUACUUGUCGCUUUGAUUUGCGAGAUAAAUGCAGCAUCUCUGCGGUUUGAGCUUGAGAAAAUGUGUAGAGAAGAUCGUAAAUUGCCCUCGUAAAACUGCCAGUUCUCAAUAAAGGCACUUCGCAUUUAGCACGCCAAUAUUUUCGCCGGAGACUUUGGUCUUGUGGGGCGUCAUUUCAUUCGCGUGAUUGCGAGAAGCCCGCACGCCCGCUUCAGUAAGUCCGAGUGGUCCCCAGCGGUUACUAGCGAGAGUAAAACCAGCGUCUGAAACGCAGCCUCCAUUGUGGUCUCACGCUCGGAACGCGCUGGCUCUUCCAAAACCUACGUGCGCGCGCGUGUAUGUAUGUACAAGCGCGUACAAAACUAUGCGUGUACACUUUCGGCAUCGCAUGCAACGUUUCAAAACGCUGUUGGCAGUUCGCUAUAUAGGCUUCCAUGACGCACGCGACGUUGGUGAUACUAAUGGAAAAUAUAGAGCAAAACGGACUCGUACAGUUACGACCAUGCUAUAGCAUGCAGGUAAUCCGUCCUGUACAGUGUGUUGCGCACAGACCCACGCCGCGCAGCUGUUUUCUACUUUCAGAAUGGUCUCGUUGUAGUGUUGCCUUCAUGCGUUCGCCGUUCCACUAGACAGACAUGCGCUGACGCUCUUUUCCUGCUAUUUUGCUGCUUAGGCGGAACGUCGGAUCGAGGAUUAGAAUUCUGGGACAUAGGGUAUAGAUUGUGGUACAGUACGAGCUGUGGAAAGCGAACAAUGUUAUUAACAGUUGCACCUUGUACAGAUAUGUACCAGGAGCAACUGAAAAAAAAAAAAAAAUAGCGCUGCUUUGUUGUAGCGCAAAUUUUGCAGAAAGAUCACAUUUUAUGGUCCGGAUCGUUCAUUGUAAGACUUGACACACUUUUUAAACUUACCUUUUGUUAAGAACUGCGCAUUUGCCUUUGUCUGCGCCCAUCGCAGCCCGCCAUGUUUAAAUUAAAACAUGGCGUCAGCAGUACGGCAAAGCAUGUCCUUCAAUAUUGGUUUCUGUUAGUUGCUCGGUGGUGCACCCUAGAGGUGCAGGGCAAGACGAAUUUGAAGUUUUUUUUUUUUUUUUUUUUUUUUGACAAACCAUGACACGUAACAGUGUAAAAUGUUAUAUUGAACUAUUCGACCCAUCAAAUGUUAUGUUGCUGUAAAAUUUGAGCAAUAACAGUAGCGGUAGGCGCCAUUUUUUUAUUUUCUACGAUAUUAAGAGAAAAAUUAACAUUCUCUGCAUAAAUUAACUACUGCUUUUUACGCUUGCCUUCGCGCUGCGCAUGUACAUGAUCGUCUGUACAUGAUCGUCUGACACGUGCAUGGCCCUGCCGGCGCCCGACCGCUCAUGCAAACGGCGCAGCGCCUUGCGAUUGGUUCCCGGACCGUUUGGCGACUACGUGACCCGGGGAGCAUAUACACAUUACUCAGCUUGUGUGCAGCGUUCAUUUUCACCAACCGACGCCGAGCGACAUCGUUCGGGAGCCGCUUGGCGCACCGCGUCCACCACAGUAACGAGGUGGACAGGAAAGCAAAGAGGGCCUGUGCUUCGCCGUAUUGAGUUAAAUGGGUUUUGAUAUAAGGCUCCGAAUACGGGUGCUGGUUUUUCGACAACUUUCGUCGCUUUGUUGUCUGCUGCUUAAUGGUGUGCUUAUGCGCGAGUAAGCACAUUCUGCCGCCGGCGUUUUGUCGACAGUCUUGCUUUUCCUUUGUGCUCAGCACUAGUCGCAAAUGAAGCGCAAAAUGCACGAGAACCGUUUAAUUUUCGCACGCUGAAUUGUUAGCGGCCGCAAGGCCACAUCGGUGUCCUUGAAAAGCGCUGCUGUAAAUGGGCUUUCCCACCUAUACCGCGAGGUCCCUUUCGCUUACUUCUCUUGCACUCACUUCUUUCUUCGGGCCACGUGAAGUUUGUACAGUGAAAGCGCUGAGAUUGUAUCGUAUGGAGGGUCAUGUAGUGGCCACCCGCAGUGAUGGAUUCCUGUUCUGAAAUGCUGAACAAUGGCAAGAAAAACAACGCCUAAAUCGCAAACAAGAACGACUCUUAGCGUCUGACCUACUCACGGGCGGCCGAAAAGACUGUUCUUUGUGCUUUGGAGCUAAACGCAAUCUUAAAACACUAAGCGCUUAUCUAUUCGCGACACUCCAUGCAUGUUCGUGUGCCCUGCAAUUAUAUAGAUAAUGGCUGCGGGCUCUGUGCCGCUGCUUGCGUCAUAACGGCAGACCGGAAUAGCCCAUCAUUCAGACGCGUCUGUGGGCGAAAGGUGAAUGGACUGCCGCUUUAUGCUGCUGAGAUUAUCUUUACCCUUCCACGCUAGUAUUACGAGGCGAACACCUUCGGGCGUGUAGUUUUAAGGAGAGAAACUGCCCCUAUGUUUCGCUGCGAUGUGUAUAGCUUCCAUCAUGGCAUGAUGAACCGCACCACUAAACAAACACCGUGCGCGACUAUAGCCCUUUGUGACCAUUUCGCUCUCCGUGUAGCACGGGUGCUUAACUCGCUCACCGACUUGACUAGCCAGUGUUCCUCAAGGAAGCCUGCUACUCAUUAACCUCAUUCGCAACCGACAUUAAAGCAAUGAAUCGUAAAUUACGUUGGAGUCAUAGUACGCUGCCAUAUGUAAUGAC